GCAGUCUUUCAUACCAUUCUAUGAAAACUGCCAUGUAUGUGAAAAAACUUUUUGCUUUUAAAUUGGUCCGCAGUUGCCUGUAAUUUGUUUAAUCUUAAAAAUUGGCUCUCAACACACUUGUAUCAUUAGGUCUAUACAUGGCCUGCAUUCAUUCAUUUAUCUACUCAUUUAUUGCUUUUUAAAAAUGAUUAAGCACCUACAAACUCACCACCCUAAACAAAAGCUAACACCUUAACCUACAUUAACCUCAGUCUCUUACCCCACUACAUCCUUCUAUUAUUCCCAACCUAAAACGUCACUAUCCCGAAUCUUAGGCUUGUCAAUUGUUUGCCUUAUUUUUAAUAGCUUUAAUGAUUCUAUAUGCACUAUUAUAAAGUAUUCUUUUAUUAUAAUUGCUUUUAACUUUAUUAAACAAGGUAUAUAACUUUAUUCAGUUAAUAUUAUGUAGCUAAGAUUCAUCCAGCUUAUUGUAUAUCACUCAUUCAUUUUGACUGCUACAUAACACUCUAUUGGGUGAAUACAUCACAAUUUAGUCUGCCAUUGAGAGGUGUUUGACUUAUUUCUAGCCUUUUCUCUUGUAAGCAGUGCUUGUAUAAACAUUUGUAGUGUCUCCUCUUGUAAAUGUGCAAGCAUGUGCUGGGUACUUACUUAGGCAUGCAAUUACCAAGCCAUAAGAUAUAUAACUAGUCUAGUUUAGUACCAGGUUUCUCAAACUUGGCACUGCUGAAAUUUGGGGCAGAUAAUUCUUUGUCCCGGGGGCUGUUGUGUGCAGCAUAGGGUGUUUAGCUGAAUGGCUGGUCUCUAUACACUUGGUGCUGAUAGUACCACCCCCGAGUUGUGACAACCAAAAAUGACUCCAGACAUUGCCAAAUAUCCUGGGGCAGGGGGUACACAAAUCACAUCUGGCUCAGAAACACUACUUUAAAGAAUAAAACUGAGGCAAUUACAAAGUGGUUGUAUCAGCUGAUACACUUGCCAGGAAUGUGAGUGUAUCCUAUGUAUCUUUAUUCUCUGUGACAGUUAGUUUUGCCAGACUUCUGAAUUUUUGUCAAUAUUCUUUAGCAUGACAAUUUAUAUUCCUAAUCCUAUGCUGUAAUUAGUCAACUGUUCUUCUUUGAUUCAACUAACUCAAUAUACUUAUUUAUUUAUUCAUCCUGCAAAUAUUUGAGUAGAAAUGUCAUGUCCAGUACUGGAUAGGUGUGAGAUACAGUAAUAGCAGAAGGCAAUGCAUGCCUCUUCUCUUACAGCUUGCACAACAGUGGGUGAAAUGAGCAUUAAUCCAUUUAUCAUCAUGUUCAAUAGAAAGGGAUGAAUAUCUAGUGCUGAAGACCUGUAAUGGGGGAAUUUGACCCAGACAGCAAAAUCAGGAGCUCACAAGAGAAUGGAAGAGCAUGAGUGUUUCCGGAGGCCAGAGCUAUCCUACGUUUCACUUUCUGAUUUAUAUCAAAGACGAAGUGACUGUUUCAUCUUCUUUUAUAAACAGGAUCUCCAUUCCCCAUUUCA